GGACUACCCGCUGAACUUAAGCAUAUCAAUAAGCGGAGGA
rnacentral:rRNA from 3 species